UUUAGUUUAAUAAAAAUAAGUUGUGAUGUCACCAAAUUUUUUUGUGAAACAAAUGGGUUUAGUUGGUUUUGCCCUAACUUCACUCAUCAUUGAUCUGCCCAACCCAUCUGUGGGUCAAAUUUAAACUGAAUUUGCCACUCCUCUCAACUCAACACGUUAUCCCAAAAAAAAAAAAAAUAUCAAAUGAAAAGACAAAACCAUGGGCUGAGCUUUUGAGUUCCCGUGGCCUUUUUGCUUUGGGAAUCUUCCUCAAAUCCUUUUUUUUUAAUUGAAAGGUGGGCAAAUUAGUCCAUCUAUUAAAAAGGAAAAGUUUGACAUCUGUAACAAUCAAAAUAUGGCCAACCGGCCCAUAUCAAAAAGGAAAUAAACAAAAAAUAAAUUAAAUCCUAAAAUAGACACAAUUGUCCAGAGAUUUCUAGACCAUUCGGCAUUGCAUCUCCAACGAGCUGUUGGCAGCAUCUUCAUCUUAUCAUCCAAUUCUCUUGAAACAAUGGUGUUGUAUAUCUUGAUCUUAUAAAGUCUAUUUGGAAAAUUCUCAACCCUCUCUCUUGAACGCUCCAUCGAUUUCUCAUCUUCUUUAUUGAAGAUUGCAGUUGAUGUUUCAGCGAUGAUACUGUUGAGAGAUCUCGGAGUUGAAAAUUGUUUCCCUGCUACAGAUGAUUCACAGUGAAAUGACGCCUUCAAGCAUAGCAAUUUCAAGGUGAUAAGGGUUUAGAAGAUACCAUAUCGGGUGAUUUAAAGCUCAAAUUUUGAGGAAUUUAAUUGUUUUAGGUGUAAUUCACAAUGGGCGUUUACAAGUCUCACAACGCCGUGAAUUCGUCCUAAUCGGAGACUUCUCCACCUCAACUGAUCCCCAAAUCCAUGCUUAUUACACCAAGAUAAGUGUCAUGGCUUCUUCGUCCUUAUAUUUUAUACCCAAUUGUGAUUGAUAAUUUUACCUCACCUCUUUUUCCUUAACGUAUUGAUCCUAACGAGGGACUAAUGCCACUGCCUAAAAAAUUGGAGGAUAAGGCUCCAUUCCCAACCAUGCCAAGUAUGCAUUUUGUUAUAUUGGUACUGACUUUUUAAUUUCUUUCAUGUAUGCAUAAUCAGUACUUCCGUUAUAUUCACUUUCUUGUUUUCCAUGUUUAUUCACUGUGAAUUCUGUUGAAGAACUCCAAAACAACUAGCUGCUUACCCUCUUAUUAUUAAAAUAUCCAUUUUGGAACAUUUUAAUUCUGAGAUUAGGAACUUGGUUUUUAUCCAUGUUGAGAAACGUUUUGGCCUCCCUAGGUAGUUCCAGAAAGUUUGAAUAAAUUAUUCUACUUGUGCCUGCAAAAAAGAACACUUUGUUAGCAAUAAAAUCAGCCACCUUGUUGCCUUCUCUGAAUAUGUUCUCUACAACAACAUCGACAUCCUUUAUCAUGUGAUGCACAAUUCUUAUCUCCAAAGCUAUAUUCCAUAGUGUAUCCCAUAUUCCAUACAGAAUGUUUUUUAAGGCUAGAGGAUCAGUUUCCAAAAUCACAGGUAGCAAAUUAUUUCUUUUGCAGUGCUCCAAACCCAUCCUCAAAGCCAUUACUUCUGCCAUCAAAUUAUUGGUGUCAACAAUCCUUACUCCCUCAGCAUAUCCCAGAUUUCCUAUGUCAUUUCUAAUGCAGAAAGCACAAGAGCUAAGACCAGGAUUACCCUUUGAAGCCCUGUCAGAAUUACAUUUGUACUUUCCCAUACUGCGCAAUUUCCAGCACACCACAAUACACCCAAUCCUAGGUGUAUAACUUUAAAGAAACCCUACCAAUUCAAACCAAUAAUUAGGAAUAUUGCUUAAUCAAGGAUAUAGGAACUUGGUUAAGUAUAUUAAAUGCCUGGUAAUUUCCAUCCUCAUACUCAUAUAAGACAUCUUGCCACCAUGUUUAAUCACAUUACUUCUUUUACAAAUUUAUCAUAAAAUAAACAUAGGAAUAGCUGUAUAAAUGGGUUUGAGCUUCAGUGUAGUUCUGGCAUUCCACCAUUUAAGAACGCUGUCCUUGAGCUUCAAAAAAGGACCAUCAAUCCCUGCAAUACCUGAAAAAUAAGCCCAAAUGUUCUUAGAAAAAUACAGUGUAUGAAUGUGUGUUCGAUGGUUUCUUGGACCCCUUCUUCACGACGACAACAUUCAACAUCAUCACAAAUCCUAUUUCUGAUAAGGAUUUCCCCUAUAGGCAGCCUUUUCUUCCCCAAUCUCCAUAAAAAGAAUGACACCUUAAAAGGUAUCCCUUUUCUCUAAAUUGUCCUGUAAAUUAGCUUACUCUCUUCUUUUUCCCUUAGAUACUCCCAAGCAUAACUCACUGAAAAUUUUAUAGAAACGUUUAACAGCCACAAUGGCUUGUCCCAAUGUUCAGUUUCUUUAUUACAACACAUAUAAUUGAUUACAUGAUUGCUCACCUCAUCACUAAAAUUUUGUUGUAACAAUUCAGCAUUCCAUCUCCCAUUUGCAACCAGUUGACCCACCUCUUCCAAUUGAUUAUCCCUGAUAAUAUCAAUAGGCAACAAGUAUUAAAGGGAACCCAAUUGUUUCAAGUUGUCAUGCCAAAAACGUGAAUGUCCACAUUUGGGUUCCCACUUUGUCUCUAGAUCAAACAUUUCUUUAGCCUUUAACAUAUGCUUCAAUGUCAGUGAUCCUCCUUUCCAUUCCGCUAAUUGUGACCUAACCUUCUUGCAAUAUUUAUUCCAUAUGUAAUUAGUCCAUAAAGACUUUUGAGUUCUGAAAUUCCACCACAAUUUUGCAAACAGAGCUUUAGAUACAUCAAAUAGUGAUCUGAAACUCAAUCCUUCUACUUCCUUGGGUCUACAGAUAUCAUUCCAAGCCACCCAAUGUUUAUUUUUUCCCACCUCCUUUAAAUUCCAUAGGAACCUUGCAAAAGUUCAAUGUAAAUCAUGAAUAACAAUUUUGGAGGGUUAACAGCAGACAAUAAAUAAAUGGGAAUUCUACUCAGAACAUUAUUUAGAACAUUAUUUAUCAGCACAGCAUUACCACCAAAAGAUAACAUCUUUCCUUUCCAUGUUUGUAAUUUGUUGUGAACUUUUUUCAUCAACUCUGCAAAAUGAACCUUUCUCAUCUUGCAUGCACAGUAGGGCAUCCUAAAUACAUUAGAGGAAAUUUUCCUCCAUUAAAACCAGUACAUUCCUCCACCUCCUAAUGUGAGCAUGAGCAGUCUUAUGAUAUACUAGAAAAGCACUCUUUUCUUUGUUUAUCAUUCGUCCCGAUUGAUCUUCAUAAUCUCUAAGAAUAUUCAUCAUCAAUUUUAUAGACUUGCCAUCAGCCGAAGUAAAAAAUAAUAGUAUCAGCAGCAUAUGCUAAAUGAUUAAUAUUUUCACUCCAUUUUGGCAUACCAAAACUCUUAUAUUCUACAUCAUGAAACAACAAAUUAAGAGCUCCAGAUAAAACCUCCGCAGAAAAAAAAUAAUGCUAGGGAUAAUGGAUCCCCUUGUUUCACUCUCCUUGUAGAAUGGAAAAAACCUUGAGCCUGACCAUUAAUAAGGAUAGAAUACCAGUUGUUAGCAACCAGUCUCCAAAUCUUAUCUACAACUCCAACAUCAAAACCCAUCUUUUCUAAAACUUUUAACCGGAAACGUACAGUCCACCCUGUCAUAAGCCUUUGCCAUAUCAAGCUUAAUCACCAAAUUUGCAGGCUUUCCCCUCAUCCUGAUAUCUACAAUAAUUUAUUGUGCUAAAAGAACGUUCUCAGUAAUACUUCUACCUUUCACAAAACCUGAUUCAUAUUUUGAUAUGAGAUUAGGAAGCAAUUCUUCAAGUCUAUCAUGCAACACUCUAGAAAUUACCUUAUUCGGGAAGCCACUCAAACUUAUUGGUCACAUGUGAGCAAAAGACUAUAUGAUAUCUUAUUUUGGCACAAGAACCAAGUUAGUAUGAGUAAUAGACUUCGGAAGAGUGCUUCCCUCAAAACAUGUAGUCAUUACUUUACACACAUCAUCACCUAUAAUGUCCUAGCAAUUUAGAAAAAAAAAUGGUCAGUAAAUUCCAUCUGGACCACUAGCACUAUCCCCAUUCAAUUCAAAUACCACCUUCUUUACUUCCUCUCUAGUAGGCAAAGCAUUUAUAGCUUGUUUCAUCAGUGAUAAGAGUUGGGAUAUGUUUCAACAAUGAUAGAUCACUAUAUCUAUGAAACCCUGUGAACUGAUCCUAAUAAAAUGACAAAGUUGCAUCAGCCACCCAUUUAGUACCCUCCACCCAUUGGCCAUCCUUAUCCUGGAUCCUGUUUAUAGUUAACCUCUUUCUUCUUCCAUUAACCAAAUAGUGGGAAAAUCUGGUAUUUUUUUCUCCUUUCGAGAACCAUUGAAUACCUGCUUUUUUCCUUCAAAACUCUUCCUUAUAGUGAAUAUAUUGCCUUAAUUUAGCCUGUGCCUUUUGGAGAACCAUUCUAUUUUCAGCAGAUGGGUUUUCUUCAAAUAAAUCUUCUUUUAAUCUAACAAUUUCUUCUCUGGUUAUCAAUUGCUUGAAAACGUCACCAAAAGUUUCUUUACUCCAACUAGUCAAAGUUGUCUUAGUCUUCUUCAUCUUCUCUUUUAAAUUGAUAAAGAUAUCACUGUCCUCUCUUGAUACCCAGACCAAAAUUUAAGAAAUUUAAAUGGUCUUCUCAUACUAUUGGAUUGACUCCCACAAGUAAGCACCAAAGGUGCAUGAUCUGAUCCAGUUCUUGUUGGAUGCACUGAUUCUACCAAACAAAAAGUACCCAAAAAUGAAUUAUUCACCAAAAGUCUGUCUAAUCUUUUAAAGAUACAUUCACUAUCAGUUCUACCAUUCCACCAAAUGAAUGGACUUCCUUUGAAAUUUAUGUCAAUAAAUUCACAUGAAUUCACACAAAAUGCAAAAUCCUCAUAUUCUUGAGGGUACACGGAGAGACCCUCAAUCUUCUCCUCACCACUCAGUAUUAUAUUAAAGUUACCCUCAAUAAGCCAAGGCAGAUUCAUAUUCAUGCUCAAUGAGUAAAUAUCUUCCCAUAAACUUAAUCUCUCCAGGGCAUCGCAUUUGGCAUACACCACAGUAGUUACAAAUGAAUGACCAUUUUCUAAGAAAUUCAAUUGAAAAGAUAAUUGUUGCUCAGUAUCAGAAACAACCUCCACCUGAAUAUGCAUCUGAAUGAAAAUCCAUAUUUUCCAUUCUGAUUGUAGUUUACAUAUUGCAUACCCAACCUCCCCUUGUAUUCCUAGAUUUGAAUAAUAUCUUGAAAUGGCUCCAUCAAAGAAAUAAUAGAGAAUAUGUGGUAUCUGUGAAGCAUUUGAAUUCUAUGGAAUGAAUUUUGGAUCUUUACAGAUCUCACAUUUUAAAAUAAAGCUUUCAUCAUUAUUUAGAACUAGUUCGCACACCCCUCAUAGGAUUUACCCUUGUAGGCAAUGUCUCCCCUUUUUUUUUACCUUUAUUAGUCUUUGAACUUGUUUGUGGGGAUAAACUGGUCUUCUUAAACACUUUCCUCUUAAUCUUCCACUGUCUGCAUCUGUUGUGACCCCUUCACCUUUAUAAUCUUUUCCUUCAUAUGAUGUGUAACUAAUUCAUGUAAAGUUCUAACAGGACUUGAUUUUGUACAGAGAACUGCCAGGUCCUGACCUGCAUUAUUUUCCAAUCUUGUUGAUGGAAAUAAUAACAAGGUACCAUCUGCUACAACUGGGUUUUUCAGCCAACAGAUCCAACUGUACCUUCACUCUUGCCAGUUAGGGCGAGUCUUGUUUAUAGUUGCAAAAUCCAAAUGCACUGUCUUACCAGCAGUUGAAGCCAAUGAAAAUAGAGCUUCUUUUACAAAGAAGGGUAGAAGAUCAGGGAAGGAAAUCCACGCAGUUGCUUGGGAUGUUUCUUCAGUUGCUUUGAAUUUUGCAUCGUAUAUGAACGGGCGUAUUUGAUAUGCAUACCCAUCUUUGGCAAUUAUGUAAUACACAUUUUAAGACAUGAUAUUAAUGAAAAUUUCCAUCAGCUCAAACUUCAUUAAAA